rnacentral:rRNA from 1 species
GAUGAACGCUAGCGGCAGGCUUAACACAUGCAAGUCGAGGGGUAACAUUGUAGCUUGCUACAGAUGACGACCGGCGAACGGGUGCGUAACGCGUAUAGAAUCUGCCUUGUACAGGAGGAUAGCCUUUAGAAAUGAAGAUUAAUACUCCAUAAUUCUGUGAAUUGGCAUCAAUUUAUAGUUAAACAUUUAUGGGUACAAGAUGACUAUGCGUCCUAUUAGCUAGAUGGUAAGGUAACGGCUUACCAUGGCAACGAUAGGUAGGGGGUCUGAGAGGAUUAUCCCCCACACUGGUACUGAGACACGGACCAG